rnacentral:lncRNA from 1 species
ACUUAGACCUCGCAAAAGAAACAAAAUAAGAAGCGUAUCACGUUUCAAUUAACAAAAUAAGGCAAUAGCAAAUAUAUGACAAUUUUCCUUUUUUUUUUUUAACAAAUAAAUUCGAAAUUAAAAUUCCAAAGGAAGUAAAAUUCAAUUUUUUUUUGUUUCUUUUCUGAUUUAACAAAAUUAAAAAAAAUAACAAAAUCUGAAUUUUUAUUUUGGUUUUAAAGAUUUAAAUGAAAAUAACACAAAACUUGAGAAAUAUAUAACUUUUUAUGGUAUUUCUUUUAUGAGAAAUGAAAUUAAAUUAAACCAAAAAUUUGUUUUGCUUUUUUUUAUAAUGAUAAGGAACACUAGUAAAAAAAAUCUCUAUAGCCACUUGGCAAUUCGUGGCUGUGCCUUAAAAUUCGUAGCUAUAGGGUCGUAGCUUAAAAAAUUCGUGGAAAAUUCGUGGCUGUUUUUUCAAAAAUCACCUUAUAGCCACGAAUUUUCGCGACUGCCAAGUAGCUAUAUGUAUUUUUUUACUAGUGAAGAACUUAAACAAGAACAAGAGCAAGAAACAAUUUUUUUUUUUGAAUUUAUAAGAACUAAAACAACAAAACAGAAAAAGAUAAAGGUUGGAAUGACACAACCUGUUGGGUGGGAGCUUUUGAAGCACUGAUACCA